rnacentral:rRNA from 1 species
CCUACGGGAGGCAGCAGUGGGGGAUAUUGCACAAUGGGGGAAACCCUGAUGCAGCGACGCCGCGUGUGGGAAGACGGUCUUCUGGAUUGUAAACCACUGUCCCCAGGGACGAAAAUGACGGUACCUGGGGCGGAAGCUCCGGCUAACUACGAGCCAGCAGCCGCGGUAAUACGUAGGGAGCAAGCGUUGUCCGGAAUUACUGGGUGUAAAGGGAGCGUAGGCGGGGAUGAAAGUUGGGUGUAAAAACUACCGGCUCAACCGAUAGUCGCACUCAAAACUGCAACUCUUGAGUGAAGUAGAGGCAGGCGGAAUUCCUAGUGUAGCGGUGAAAUGCGUAGAUAUUAGGAGGAACCCCAGUGGCGAAGGCGGCCUGCUGGGCUUUUACUGACGCUGAGGCUCGAAAGUGUGGGGAGCAAACAGGAUUAGAUACCCCUGUAGUC